rnacentral:lncRNA from 1 species
CAAGAAGGAUUUCCCCACGCCUCGUCCAAGCACCAUCCAGUCUGCUGCUGUAACCUACAGGGCAGCACGGUCAAGAAAGAUUUCCCCACGCCUCGGCCAAGCACCAUCCAGUCUGCCGCUGGCAGCACGGUCAAGAAGGAUUUCCCCACGCCUCGUCCAAGCACCAUCCAGUCUGCCGCUGUAAGCUACAGGGCAGCACGGUCAAGAAGGAUUUCCCCACGCCUCGGCCAAGCACCAUCCAGUCUGCCGCUGGCAGCACGGUCAAGAAGGAUUUCCCCACGCCUCGUCCAAGCACCAUCCAGUCUGCCGCUGUAAGCUACAGGGCAGCACGGUCAAGAAGGAUUUCCCCACGCCUCGUCCAAGCACCAUCCAGUCUGCUGCUGUAACCUACAGGGCAGCACGGUCAAGAAAGAUUUCCCCACGCCUCGGCCAAGCACCAUCCAGUCUGCCGCUGGCAGCACGGUCAAGAAGGAUUUCCCCACGCCUCGUCCAAGCACCAUCCAGUCUGCCGCUGUAAGCUACAGGGCAGCACGGUCAAGAAGGAUUUCCCCACGCCUCGGCCAAGCACCAUCCAGUCUGCCGCUGGCAGCACGGUCAAGAAGGAUUUCCCCACGCCUCGUCCAAGCACCAUCCAGUCUGCCGCUGUAAGCUACAGGGCAGCACGGUCAAGAAGGAUUUCCCCACGCCUCGGCCAAGCACCAUCCAGUCUGCUGCUGUAACCUACAGGGCAGCGCAGUCAAGAAGGAUUUCCCCACGCCUCGUCCAAGCACCAUCCAGUCUGCCGCUGGCAGCACGGUCAAGAAGGAUUUCCCCACGCCUCGGCCAAGCACCAUCCAGUCUGCCGCUGUAAGCUAAGGGCAGCACGGUCAAGAAGGAUUUCCCCAUGCCUCGUCGAAGCACCAUCCAGUCUGCCACUGUGAGCUACAGACGGACACUCCCUCCAAGGUCUGACUAGGACAUGGGCCAGACAACAGCAAGACAGCUGCUAAAUAUAUGGCAGAAGAGAUUGGUCCCAUUCUGCACAAAAAGCUUGUUCAUAACAGAACCUUUUUGUGCA